UACAGAGGCCUCGAGCGUUAGGCGGAAUUACUGGGCGUCAAGCGUGUGCAGGCGGGGGGACAAGGGGGGUAUGAAAUUUCCCGGCUUAACCGGGAAGGGUUAUGCCAGACUGUCUUUCUGGAGUGCGAGAGAGGGGCGUGGAAUUCCGGGUGUAGUGGUGAAAUGCGUAGAGAUCCGGAGGAACCCCAGAGGCGUAGGCGGCGCCCUGGCUCGCAACUGACGCUCAGACACGACAGCAUGGGGAGCGAACGGG
rnacentral:rRNA from 1 species